rnacentral:rRNA from 1 species
AUUGAACGCUGGCGGCGUGCCUAAUACAUGCAAGUCGAGCGGAUCUUCACCUUCGGGGGAAGGUUAGCGGCGGACGGGUGAGUAACACGUAGGCAACCUGCCUGUAAGACUGGGAUAACUACCGGAAACGGUAGCUAAGACCGGAUACGUGCUUUUGGGGCAUCCUGAGAGCUGGAAAGACGGAGCAAUCUGUCACUUACAGAUGGGCCUGCGGCGCAUUAGCUAGUAGGUAGGGUAACGGCCUACCUAGGCGACGAUGCGUAGCCGACCUGAGAGGGUGACCGGCCACACUGGGACUGGGACACGGCCCAGACUCCUACGGGAGGCAGCAGUAGGGAAUCUUCGGCAAUGGACGCAAGUCUGACCGAGCAACGCCGCGUGAGUGAUGAAGGCUUUCGGGUCGUAAAACUCUGUUGCCAAGGAAGAACGGCAGGGAGAGUAACUGCUCCUUAUUUGACGGUACUUGGGAAGAAAGCCCCGGCUAACUACGUGCCAGCAGCCGCCGUAAGAC